rfam:Coccidioides posadasii str. Silveira unplaced genomic scaffold supercont2.7, whole genome shotgun sequence.
CCACCGUCCACGCGAGCGUUCGGGUGUCAAACCCGUGCGCGCAGUGAAAGCAAAUGGAGGUGGGACCCCCUCAUGGGCAUACCAUCAACCAAUCCUGAUGUCUCCAGCUGGAUAUGAGCAAGAGCGUGGCUGUUGGGACUGGAAAGAUGGUGAACUAUGCCUGAAUAGGGCGAAGCCAGAUGAAAACUCUGGUGGAGGCUCGCAGCAGUUCUGAUGUACCAAUCGAUUGGGUACAACUUAGUACAGCCUACUCCGUAGUUAACUAUGAUAACUAACUAGUAGCG